GGGGAUGCACUAAUAAUUUCGUUCCUUUGUCACCGGAGUCACCAUCGCUGUCAGUGAUAAGGAGAUACUUUUCGUUUGAAAAAGCGACUUCCUUGAACACCACCAUUGCAUCAAGAUUAACCUGCAGCAAAAGGAAGGAAAAAGAAAGUUUGGUUAAAAUGGCAUGGUCGAAGAUAGUAAAAGCUUCUUGAAUUUUUGGGUGAGUUUUAUUGAAGUGGGUAGUCGUGUCUUAUUCUUCAUGUACUCCUCAAGCCAUGAUAUGGCUCUCGUGGGAGUUUGCGGUUGCGCCUUCUUCAAAUUUCUUGGUUGCACCGUCUUCAUGUACUCCUCAAGCCAUAAUAUGGCUCUCGUGGGAGUUUGCGGUUGCACCUUCUUCAAAUAUUGGUCGCACCUCCUUGGUGUACUCCUCAAGCCAUAAUAUGGCUCUCGUGGGAGUUUGCGGUUGCACCUUCUUCAAAUUUCUUGGUCGCACCUCCUUGGUGUACUCCUCAAGCCAUAAUAUGGCUCUCGUGGGAGUUUGCGGUUGCGCCUUCUUCAAAUUUCUUGGUCGCACCUCCUUGGUGUACUCCUCAAGCCAUAAUAU
rnacentral:lncRNA from 1 species